rnacentral:rRNA from 1 species
ACGGGGGGAGCAAGCGUUGUUCGGAUUUACUGGGCGUAAAGGGCGCGUAGGCGGCCAGCACAAGUCAGUUGUGAAAUCUCCGAGCUUAACUCGGAAAGGUCAACUGAUACUGUGCGGCUAGAGUGCGGAAGGGGCAACUGGAAUUCUUGGUGUAGCGGUGAAAUGCGUAGAUAUCUGGAGGAAUACCGGUGGCGAAGGCGGCAUCCUGGACCGGCAUUGACGCUGAUGAGCGAAAGCUAGGGGAGCAAACGGGA